GAAGGAAGAGGGCCUCCACGGGGCUGCCAGCAGGGUCAGCGGCCUCCUCUGCGGUAGAGACGGCGGGGCAUGCUGCUGCGGCAUCAUCUCUUAUCCCGGCAAAGCCGGCGACCUCCUCAACAAUGAGUCGGCAGGAAGGCUGCUGCUGCUUCAUCCAUGGCAGUCUCCACGGGGGAUCCCGCCGCGGUGAAUGCGUGGUGGAUGGGCGAGCUGCUUCUGUUGGUUUAUCGAAGAUGACCCUAUUUGACAUAAAUUUACCAAAACUUUGAGUCAAAGGACGGGAAGAGGAGGGAGGUAGCAGUGUGCGUGCCGGCAGAGGAGGUGACAGGAAAGAGUGCCGCUGAUGAUGGCAUGGUGAGGGGCGACGAGAUGGAGGCGGUCUUUGGCAUGUUAGCACAUCAAGAUGCGACGCCCGCUCCUAUCCGUUUGUUGUUCUAUCCGAUGAGAUGCUCACAUGCGAGAGAUCUGUCCUAGCAAGAACCCGGUAGGGCUAGGAUACUCUGAUGGUAUUGCUCUCCUCUUUACCCUUUGCAUUGCCUGCUGUUGUUACUGAUUCAGCCACCCUACUUUCAUUUAUUUCUGUGACUUGCAUGCAGAUUCAUCAGGCUGGAUAUUGUGUGGGUGGGCAUUAAAACUUCCCCAGUUAUUCAGAACUAAAUUCUUGGAUGUUAACCCGUUGUCUUUCUCGGGUUAUUUAGCGAGCUCUGUACAUCUAUGUCCUUUUUUUCGGCCAGAGCCCCUUUCCCUGUCUUUCCACUGGAACAUUAUCAAAUUAGCGUUUACAGCUAAUGGUAAGGUUCUACAUACCAAAGUAACUAUACCUUCUACUGGAUCAAGCCAAGACAGAAUUCAUUAGAGAUAAUAUUAUAGUUAAGAAGCCGAACGAUGCAAAGGCCAAACGAUGCUGGACUAGAGUUGCCUGAUCUGAUUGACAUGGUAUGCAAGAGCAUGCCUGAUGCCCAACAAAAAGAAAUGAGGAAACAUCUGUGGAGGACGAUAGAUAGUUCGAACUCAAGAUAUUUUGCAGGCUCUGUGAGAAGAAUAGCUUGACUUGAGAAGUGCAUAUCUCAAAUGAGCAAGGCAAAACUAUAAAAGUUGUAGUGAUUUGGAUAAGGUCCGAAGCUAUAGUUCCUACAGAAGCUCAGGAUAAUUUCUAGGAGAGGGAUGAAAACCCUUGAGCACGAUGAAAAUGGAGAACAAACUUUAAAGACAAGAAACAUAAGUGUACAAAGAUGUGCUUGAUAAUCUCUGGACGAUAUAAGUCAAUGUGUGUGUGUACAUCUUCAUUGCUUAGUUUGGAACAUUCCACUACUAUGUACAGAGCAUAACCUAACUACUCGGUAUUAAUUGUAGAAUCAGAACUAUGUUCAAGGCCUCAGCCCGAAGCUGAUGCAACUGAUGGUUACAGAUUUUCGGUGCUUAAACGAUCUAUGAGUAAUAGAUCCCUUGCAAACAUAAUGGACUUAGGCUAGACAGAAUAACCAUAUACACAAGUGUUCUCUUUUCUGUACUUUUUUAGCUACGCUCUGUAUUCUGUGUUGUUGUACAUGGCUGUAGAGAACAAGUAUAUCAGGAGUCUCCCUUUCUA